rnacentral:rRNA from 1 species
GAUGAACGCUGGCGGCGUGCCUAAUACAUGCAAGUCGAGCGAGCGGCGGACGGGUGAGUAAUGUCUGGAAAACUGCCUGAUGGAGGGGGAUAACUACUGGAAACGUUAGCUAAUACCGCAUACCAUCAGAUGUGCCCAGAGGGGAGUGGCUAGUAGGUGGGGUAAUGGCUCACCUAGGCGACGAUCCCUAGCUGGUCGGAGAGGAUGACCAGCCACUCGGGAACGGAGACAGGGUCAAGAGUCCUAGGGGAGGCAGCAGGGGGGAAUAUUGCACAAGGGGCGAAAGCCGAAUGCAGCCAUGCCGCGGGGGUGAGGAGGGCCUUCGGGUUGUAAGGCACUUUCAGCGAGGAGGCGGUACUCGCAGAAGAAGCAACGGCUAACUCCGUGCCAGCAGCCGCGGUAAUUC